rnacentral:rRNA from 1 species
GGGGAAUAUUGGACAAUGGGCGAAAGCCUGAUCCAGCCAUGCCGCGUGAGUGAUAAGGCCUUAGGGUUGUAAAGCUCUUUCGGUGGUGAAGAUAAUGACGGUAACCACAGAAGAAGCCCCGGCUAACUUCGUGCCAGCAGCCGCGGUAAUACGAAGGGGGCUAGCGUUGUUCGGAAUCACUGGGCGUAAAGCGCGCGUAGGCGGACUGACAAGGCAGAGGUGAAAUCCCAAGGACUUAACCUUGGAACUGCCUUUGAAACUGUCAGUCUGGAGUCUCGGAGGGGAUGGCGGAAUGCCUAGUGUAGGGGUGAAAUCCGUAGAUACUAGGAGGAACACCGGUGGCGAAGGCGGCCAUCUGGACGAGAACUGACGCUGAGGCGCGAAAGCGUGGGGAGCAAAC